ensembl:lncRNA
UCUGGCUCCCCAGAUACGUUUAGAGUAUUUCCCCUCUGGUACCUUCCAUAUCCCACACAUGAUUUCCCUGCCGAUUUCUGUACAGCCCAUCAGGCAGCGUGCUAUGCAAGGGGAGGGCUGCAGCUUCUCCGGACACCUAGCUCUCAACUUGUUAUGAGCACAAGAUACGUUUCCCUCCUGAUGACUUAUCAUUCGGAAACCUUAUAUCUUCCAGAACUGAGCUCUACUCCUGCCAUGUUUACGGUCAUCACCCCCUCUGUUCUGGAGACUUCCCCUAUUUCCAGCACAUCUAUGGUCUCCAACCACUCUGCGAAUGGGACAGAAGACACACCUCUCACCUGCCAGAGUUUUCAGUGCUCUGGAGAGAGAUGCUACCAGGACAAAGCUUAUGCCAAUGACACCGUGACCUGCCACAAUGAGUCUCACUGUGAGCUCUAUCGUCUCACCCACACAAACUACACAGCCAAGUGCAGCAGUGACUGUGGGAGAGGGAACGGCACUGAGAUGUGUGUGACCAACAGCAGCGUGAGCAUGAGCAAGUGCAUCCUGGAGUGCUGCAACUCGCCCCUGUGCCUGCAACUCAAUGCCACCGCCUACGGUGACUUGCCACCCACCACCACUCCAGCUCCCACAACUACCACCAUGAAGCCCCCUCCCAAAAAUGGGAAAGUGUGCACAACCUUCUCCUGUAAUGGAGAUGGAUGUUUCAAAGGCAAGAAGUCUGCUGCUGAAUGCAUCGUUGGAUUCAACUUCUGUGAGAUGAAGAAGACUGGCUCAAAUUACGUGGCUGGAUGUAGCAAAGUCUGCAAGACCGCCAGCCCAGCCUGUGGCAGAGGAGCAGCUGCCCCCUGUUACCAGGAAUGCUGCCAAGCUACCCCUAAAACUAGCUGCCUGAAACUGGAUGGCAAGGUGCACGUCAGUGGCGCUGGGCAGGUGGCUCUGGCCCCAAUCCUGAAACUCCUGGCCUGUGGUGUGGGUCUUGUCAUACAUUACAGCCUCUCCACUUUCCUUCAGAGUUAAGCAAUGACCCUCUGAGCUCCGCAGACUGACUAGGGCAGGAUUCAGGGGCACACACAAUAUUGGCUAAAACUGGCAUAAGAUCUAGGGUUUCUGUACCUCUUAAUUCGGAUAAGAUUGGCUAGAAAAUUCCAUCUAUUGAAUCAGCGUCACAGGAAGGGAGCUCACUGGAACCCACAGGCCUUCUCCUCUCUGUGCAGGCCUGGCUAGUGCCCAGGAAGUUAGUGGGUAGCACCAUGGGUGUUUGUGAAAUACAGAGCCCAGUGCUUGCAGCUGACUGAACAGGUCGGGUACGUCUAUGCUGCAGUAAAACACCACUGCUGGCCUGUGUCAGCUGACUCCGGGACCCUGUGAGGUGGGAGGGUCCUAGAGCCUGGACUUAUGCCUAAGCCCAGUCUCUACACUGUGAAUUUUACAGUCCCGCACCCUGAGCCCCAUGAGCCAGAGUCAGCUGCCGCGGGCCAGCCACAGGUGUCCUACUGCAGUGUAGACAGACUCUUAGUCUUUCCCAUGCGGAUUCUCCAAUUUGAUACAGAGGAGGGUGAAAAGUACUGGCCACGGGGAUGGAUGUGGGGCUCCCGGACCUGUGGAGAGGGUCGGCAUUGUGCCACAUGCCACAGGAGUGAUGUCAGCUGCUCAUCAGACUGAUUCCUGGCUAUGCUGCCUCCGCAGAACAGAUUAGGAGCUGGCUAGGGGCUGUGGGGCAGCCCUCAGUGAACCCCCCCCCCCCGAGCGCUAGUGCCAGCACCUCUUCCUGACUCAUGGGGGUGAAGAGGGCAAACUCCAGCCACUCUGGGAAUUACUCUUCCACCAUUCACACCUUGUUUGCAUGUAAAGCAGCUGUCUGUGUAGCACCGUCUCUGCACAGACACAUCCCCAGCCCUCCCCCAAAGUGGGAAAAUACUUCAGUGGGAGUAUCUGAGCAGGAAGAGCUGUCCCUUGUGCUUCUGAAGAGCAGCUAAGGUGCCUGUGCCUAACCAAGGGAACACGCUGAUGAAGGGGC